CCGAACAAGCCGUUUUUCCCCUCAAAAGUCAGUUUUUUAUAUCUUCACAAAUAUCUAUUUGGAAAAAGUUCACAUUCUCCCCUUGUCUCUUCAACGAGUCUAGAAUCCAACCCCCAAAGUACGAACACCCUACACUAAACAAACCAAACCAGAUACGCAACCUCCGAUCCCACUCCAGGAGGUUUUGGUCCGCGCUGGCGUCGACGUCGGCCCCACUCCAUCCACGAGAUACGCGACCCCCGAUCCCACUCCAGGGCGGUUUUUGGUCCGCGCUGGCGUCCACGUCAGCUGCCACUCCAUCUACGCGACCUCGCCGGCGACGAGAGGGAGUGGCGCCGCGCGUUCCGGCGUUUGCCCGCUCCGGCCGCGUCCGCGUCGGCCACCCCCGCGCUGGAGUCCACGACCCACCGGCGGAAUCAGCACGCGGGGCUCAGCUAUUUGUCGGCUGGCGGCGGAAUCAGCUGGAGGCCGAGCUCUGCCUUCCCCGCUCUAGUCACCACGGCCUUCCACCCCGCGCCGACGUCGACGGCCUUCGGAGAAGCCUCAGCGGCGUGUCCGAGUUCCGGCGGACACCAGCGGCGGCCGGCCGAGCUCCGAUGGAUAGCAGCGCCGCUCGGGCAAGCUCC
rnacentral:lncRNA from 1 species